rfam:Hordeum vulgare subsp. vulgare, WGS project CAJW01000000 data, contig: morex_contig_238327
AAACUACUCCCUCCGUCCUAAAAUUCUUGUCUUACGUUUGUAUAGAAAUGGAUGUAUCUAAAUACUAACACAUGACUAGAUACAUUCAUAUCUAAACAAAUCAAAGAUAAAUUUUUUGGAACGGAGGGUGUAUUAA